GGUGGUAGGUUAAUUUCUCUGCACGGUUUGAUGUUCGAGGUCUUGGCCGAGACCUUCAAAGGAUUACAUUAUUUUUUUCCAGAAAAACCAUCAUACCAGAUCCUUUUCGACUGGAUCUCCAGAGAAUGUUCCUCUAGGUACUGUGGCGGCUAAGCAAGUCUGCCAUCCCAAGAAUUUCGACUUGUACAUGCUAACAUGAUUGGAACCUCAAGGCCAACACAUUACCAUGUUCUUCAUGAUGAGAUCGACUUCACUUCUGAUGCGCUUCAGGAAUUUGUGCAUUCCCUUACGUGUAUGUGUUUCCUUUUUACCAUUUGCA